CUCAGGACGAACGCUGGCGGCGUGCCUAACACAUGCAAGUCGAACGAAGCUCCCCGAUACAAGACUUCGGUCAAGUUGAAGGGAUGACUUAGUGGCGGACGGGUGAGUAACGCGUGAGGAACCUGCCUUUCAGUGGGGGACAACAGUUGGAAACGACUGCUAAUACCGCAUGACACAUCGGAGUCGCAUGGCUCUGAUGUCAAAGAUUUAUCGCUGAAAGAUGGCCUCGCGUCUGAUUAGCUAGUUGGUGAGGUAACGGCCCACCAAGGCGACGAUCAGUAGCCGGACUGAGAGGUUGAACGGCCACAUUGGGACUGAGAUACGGCCCAGACUCCUACGGGAGGCAGCAGUGGGGAAUAUUGGGCAAUGGGCGCAAGCCUGACCCAGCAACGCCGCGUGAAGGAAGAAGGUCUUCGGAUUGUAAACUUCUUUUAUCAGGGACGAAGGAAGUGACGGUACCUGAUGAAUAAGCCACGGCUAACUACGUG
rnacentral:rRNA from 1 species